rnacentral:lncRNA from 1 species
UUAAUUUAUUAAAUGUACCAGGGUAUACUAAUUCAUUACAUUUUAAUUUUUCUAUAGAUACUCAAAUAGCUAAGCAAAUGGAGGUACAUGCCAGCCUUUCUUCUUUUAUAUACAACAGACAAAAGUAUUGGGAGGCUAGACACCAAUCAGCUAUUUUUUCUCCUGGAACCAGAUCAUCAUACUGCUGAGUUCCUUCAAACCAUUAAAGUACAGCCUUCCUUCCAAUGCUCCAUAAUCUGUUCAAAAUCACAGUAUAAAUACAAAGUUCUUCAAGCCAUUUUACAAAACCAGCAAAACUCUACAACAAAAUCCUACAGGAAAAAGUAGAACAAUCUCAUUUACAAACAGCAUUUUAACAGUAUUAUUAAAUGUAACAAAACAUAAGAUACAAAAUCUAAAUCCUUAAAGUCACACUAUUUCUACAGAAAUAAGACCCUCGCCCCACCUAUACUACUUAUGACUCAGGACAGUAGCUCAUCCCCACGGGGACCCCACUGGCCAACUUUUCACCAACCCUCACCAGAGGUGGAUGCCGGCCCUAGCACUGGCCCUGGCCCUCAUACUGGCUUCAGCUCUGGCCUUGGCUCUGGCCCUGUCGGCCUCGUCUGCUAGGGCCUCACGGUACUGCACUGGCCAGUGCUGGGGUUCCUUCUUAUGCAGCUUGGCCACGAACCCCAGGACUUUCAUCUUGCUGAUUUCCAGGUUGCUUCGGGGACCCCAAGAGAAUUCAUAUUCCGGUGGACUGGUGUGAGGCACCCGCCUGUAACUGAGGUAUCGCUGCUGCACAAAAUCUUCCAUAAUAAGCCUCUUCGGAUACCCAAAGAGGAAAUGAUACUUUGAGGGUUGCAUCCCCAACCGAUGCAGCAUCUCCCAGACUUGGGCUUCCCCGGCCCUAUUACCUCUCAUAUAGAUAAGUGUGGUGCUUGCGGUCAAACUGUUUCAGCUCAAAACCAAAGACAUACCGCAGAUGCUCUGCGGCCCUUGCGAUGAUGUCCGGGAACAGAGCCUUCAAGUCUCCAAUAACGUAUUUCACCAUCUCCGAGCGUGUGAUGGGACUCUUCUUCUUGUCUUUCACCAGGAGGAACUGCACCAACUCCGCCACCGUCCGAUUCAGACGGCGGCAGGCCCUGCGCCUUGCCAAGGCUUUGGCUGCCAAGGCCCUCGCGCCUUUCCGGGUGAGGGCGGGCUCCGCAGCCCCUCCUCCCUCCCGGCGCCAAGCUCCUCCUUGGGGCGCUCCUGCGAGGCGGUCCGGGCCCGGGUCUCACCAUCAUGGCCGCCAUCCUUCUCCCCCUCGGCCUGCGGGACCGGGAGCCCCCUGCUCUCUGGUGUCUGCAACAUGUUUUCGGGCAGGCAGGUGCACAGCGCGUGCACGGGCCGAGGGGUGUGGAAGCCGCCGUGCAAGCCCCGGGGGAGAGGCUGGACAGCGGCUGGGGCGGCGGGAGUACGAGGAGCAAUGGCAGAAGGAACUUUGUAGCUGCUGGGCCGCACC